AGUGAACGCUGGCGGUAGGCCUAACACAUGCAAGUCGAACGGCAGCACAGUAAGAGCUUGCUCUUACGGGUGGCGAGUGGCGGACGGGUGAGGAAUACAUCGGAAUCUACUUUUUCGUGGGGGAUAACGUAGGGAAACUUACGCUAAUACCGCAUACGACCUACGGGUGAAAGCAGGGGAUCUUCGGACCUUGCGCGAUUGAAUGAGCCGAUGUCGGAUUAGCUAGUUGGCGGGGUAAAGGCCCACCAAGGCGACGAUCCGUAGCUGGUCUGAGAGGAUGAUCAGCCACACUGGAACUGAGACACGGUCCAGACUCCUACGGGAGGCAGCAGUGGGGAAUAUUGGACAAAGGGCGCAAGCCUGAUCCAGCCAUACCGCGUGGGUGAAGAAGGCCUUCGGGUUGUAAAGCCCUUUUGUUGGGAAAGAAAAGAAGCAGGUUAAUACCCCGAUGUUCUGACGGUACCCAAAGAAUAAGCACCGGCUAACUUCGUG
rnacentral:rRNA from 1 species